CAGACUUCUGUUGGAAUUAGAAACUCAGAAUCUAUGGAUUCUUUGAUUCUUUCUUGUGGGUGUGUAUGAAUUUCUUAUCUUCAUUUUUGGGUUGUUUCUUGCGCUCAAUCUGAAUUUGUAGCUCUGUUGGUGGAUAAGAUAGCAUCUUCUCUUAUACCCACUUCUCCUUUUCGAUUCCACUUGUUUAUAGUGAAUUUGAGUCUGGUGGACUUUGUUCCUCCUUAUUUCUUGUGCCUCUUUUGUUUUUGCUGGAACAGUUUCUGUAGAUUUGAUAGCUGGUCUCUCUCUCUCUUUCUCUCUUUCCNCCAACACCACACCCCCCUCCCCCCCUCUUUAUGUUUUCUAACUGGAAUUAGCAGUAACACUCACUUCAGCUUGGUACUGUUUCUUGGUAGCUUGCGUUGGCUACUGUUUUGGAUGAGUUUGCUGUUUGGUUUAAAGGUGGGGCAUCUACUUUGGAUGCUAUGUUGCUGGAUUGUAUCAGUAAUUUCCUUGAACUGGUUCGUUAAUGGUGAAAUUGUGGAGAGCAAGACUGGUUUGCUUGGUGAUGGUGGCAAGAUGUGGCUCAGGUUCUGGGAGAAGAUCUCAGGGAAUAGUUGCAAGAUGCACCAUCACUACUACCAGUAUUUUGGGUCGAAGAGAGUUAGAAAAACAUGGUGGAGAAAGCUCUUGGUGGCAUGGGUAAUUGGCUGGAUCAUGGUCUCUUUAUGGAUCUUAUGGUACAUGAGCUCACAAGCCACUGAGAAGAGGAAAGAGACACUUUCAAGCAUGUGUGAUGAGAGGGCCAGGAUG
rnacentral:misc_RNA from 1 species